rnacentral:rRNA from 1 species
AUUGAACGCUGGCGGCUGGCCUAACACAUGCAAUUCGAGCGGAGUGGCGGACGGGUGCGUAAUGCCUAGGAAUCUGCCUGGUAGUGGGUGAUAACGUCCGUAAACGGUCGCUCAUACCGUAUACUAUCAGAUGAGCCUAUGUCGGAUUAGCUAGUUGGUGGGGGAAAGGCCUACCAAGGCGACGAUCCGUAACUGGAUUGAGAGGAUGAUCAGUCACAAUGGAACUGAGACACGGUCCGGAAUCCUACGGGAGGCAGCAGUGGGGAAUAUUGGAAAAUGGGCGAAAGCCUGAUCCAGCCAUGCCGCGUGAGUGAAGAAGUUCUUCGGGUUGUAAAGCACUUUAAGUUGGGAGGCGUUAAGAACAGAAUAAGCACCGGCUAACUUCGUGCCAGCAGCCGCGGUAAUAC